AACGCACCUUGCACCUUUUGGUACUCCGAAAGGUAUGCCUGUUUGAGUGUCAUGAAAUCUCAAUCCCCUCUGGUUUCAUUACCAGGGGUGGACUUGGACUUGGGCGUCUGCCAUAUUGCUUGGCUCGCCUCAAAUGUGUCAGUGGGAUCUAGCAUCCACGGCCCGACGUAAUAAGUUUCGUCUGGCCCGGUGUCUGAGCCUGCUCAUAACCAACCAUAUCUUCUGACUCUGACCUCAAAUCAGGUAGGGCUACCCGCUGAACUUAA
rnacentral:misc_RNA from 1 species